UACGUAGGGUGCAAGCGUUGUCCGGAAUUAUUGGGCGUAAAGAGCUCGUAGGCGGUUUGUUGCGUCGGCUGUGAAAACCUGAGGCUCAACCUCAGGCCUGCAGUCGAUACGAGCAGACUAGAGUGUUGCAGGGGAGACUGGAAUUCCUGGUGUAGCGGUGAAAUGCGCAGAUAUCAGGAGGAACACCGGUGGCGAAGGCGGGUCUCUGGGCCGUAACUGACGCUGAGGUGCGAAAGCGUGGGGAGCAAACAGG
rnacentral:rRNA from 1 species